GAAUAGUGUGGCAUAGUGGUUUGAACAUUGGACUACAACUCUGGAGAGCAGGGUUCAAUUCCCUACUUGUCCA